rnacentral:rRNA from 1 species
ACACAUGCAAGUCGAACGGUAACAUUUCUAGCUUGCUAGAAGAUGACGAGUGGCGGACGGGUGAGUAAUGCUUGGGAACUUGCCUUUGUGAGGGGGAUAACAGUUGGAAACGACUGCUAAUACCGCAUAAUGUCUUCGGACCAAACGGGGCUUCGGCUCCGGCGCAAAGAGAGGCCCAAGUGAGAUUAGCUAGUUGGUAAGGUAACGGCUUACCAAGGCGACGAUCUCUAGCUGUUCUGAGAGGAAGAUCAGCCACACUGGGACUGAGACACGGCCCAGACUCCUACGGGAGGCAGCAGUGGGGAAUAUUGCACAAUGGGGGAAACCCUGAUGCAGCCAUGCCGCGUGUGUGAAGAAGGCCUUCGGGUUGUAAAGCACUUUCAGUUGUGAGGAAAAGUUAGUAGUUAAUACCUGCUAGCCGUGACGUUAACAACAGAAGAAGC